rnacentral:misc_RNA from 1 species
UUGAGUCUAACAACUCUCCAACCCUGUGUGAACCGAAAUGUCUGGUUGCUCAGGCAGGCGGCCCCCGGGGGGGGCUGCAGCCUCGCUGAGGCGCCUGCCGGAGGAUACCUAAACUCGUUUUCUCCAGUGUAUCUCUGAGCUCUGAAAAGAAUGAAUUA